UUUUAUAAAACUUCACCGACGAAAGUUUGCACUGAGCGUCUCUUCGCAGCAGGCCGCCAUCAACCAGGGCCCUCUCGCUGAGCCAUCCCUCUCUUCUGUUAUUCGCCGCACUCGGCCUCCUCUUCUUCCGUCCUCGUCAACCUCCCAGCAUUCCUCUUCACAAAGCCCCCUCGCCUGCUUCACCAAGUACCUCUCUCCUCUCUUUUUCUCUCUUUCCAUUUCUAGAAAAUGGCUUUCUUUCUCAUCUCUCUCUGCAGAACUACUUUAUUCUCUCUCUGUAUCUCUCUCCAUCUAGCGGUGUAGCCCUAAAUCUAUUUCUCGCUCUAUCACCAACCUCCCAUCCGUCAUUGACAUCAGAGCUCCAGGUUCUGCAAAACAGACAUUCUCUAGUCAAGAUGCAGUGACAACAAACGAAUUGAUAAAAGCGCUUAUUGAUUGGAAAAUUAUUCAAGAUGAAAAUGGAAUGACACUUGCCAAGGUGUUGAGGCAAUUCACAAGUACUUAUUAAAAUUGCAUAUUUGAAUAGGAUAGCAGAUUUUCAUUGGUGAAUGGGGUGAAAAUGGUACCUUUCACACUUUCAUUUUAUCAGGGUUUAGAGCUUCAUUUUCGUACACAUCCCACCACUUUAUGUAUAUUUGCUUACCUAUUUAUGGGAUAUAUUCCCAAUUGUUUGUAUAGUCAUCAGAUAUGUGGUAGGACCAUUUCAUGAUCCAUGGUAUUUGGCAUAAAGCCAUAAAGUAUAUAUGAAGGUCUAUUUUUGAAUUAUUAUUGUUAUAUUCUAGAUCCCCAUAAUUGGAACCAAUUCUUGUACCAAUUUGGAAAUUCUCCUGGUAUUGGUAUUUUUAUUUGUAUGAACCAUGUAUGCGAAUUAUUAAUAUUUUGAAAAGCAAAGACCUCAUGCCAUGCUUUAA